rnacentral:rRNA from 1 species
CCAGACUCCUACGGGAGGCAGCAGUGGGGAAUAUUGGGCAAUGGGGGAAACCCUGACCCAGCGACGCCGCGUGAGGGAAGAAGGUUUUCGGAUUGUAAACCUCUGUCCUUGGUGACGAUAAUGACGGUAGCCAAGGAGGAAGCCACGGCUAACUACGUGCCAGCAGCCGCGGUAAUACGUAGGUGGCGAGCGUUAUCCGGAUUUACUGGGUGUAAAGGGAGCGUAGACGGCAAUACAAGUCGGAAGUGAAAUACCCGGGCUCAACCUGGGAACUGCUUUGGAAACUGUAUGGCUAGAGUGCUGGAGAGGUAAGCGGAAUUCCUAGUGUAGCGGUGAAAUGCGUAGAUAUUAGGAGGAACACCAGUGGCGAAGGCGGCUUACUGGACAGUAACUGACGUUGAGGCUCGAAAGCGUGGGGAGCAAACAGGAUUAGAUACCCUAGUAU